CCCUUAGAUGUUCUGGGCCGCACGCGCGCUACACUGACGAAUGCAACGAGCUUAUAACCUUGGCCGAAAGGUCUGGGUAAUCUCCAAAUUUCGUCGUGAUGGGGAUAGAUUAUUGCAAUUAUUAAUCUUCAACGAGGAAUGCCUAGUAAGCGCAAGUCAUCAGCCUGCGUUGAUUACGUCCCUGCCCUUUGUACACACCGCCCGUCGCUCCUACCGAUUGAAUGGUCCGGUGAAGCGCUCGGACCGCGGCCUCUUGACGGUUUUCCGUCGAUUGGCUGUGGGAAGUUCGUUAAACCUUAUCAUUUAGAGGAAGGAGAAGUCGUAACA
rnacentral:rRNA from 1 species